CACGUAGGGUGCGAGCGUUGUCCGGAAUUAUUGGGCGUAAAGAGCUCGUAGGCGGUGUGUCGCGUCGGCCGUGAAAACCUGCAGCUUAACUGUGGGCGUGCGGUCGAUACGGGCAUCACUGGAGUUCGGCAGGGGAGACUGGAAUUCCUGGUGUAGCGGUGAAAUGCGCAGAUAUCAGGAGGAACACCGGUGGCGAAGGCGGGUCUCUGGGCUGAUACUGACGCUGAGGAGCGAAAGCGUGGGGAGCGAACAGG
rnacentral:rRNA from 1 species